UACGUAGGGUGCAAGCGUUAAUCGGAAUUACUGGGCGUAAAGCGUACGCAGGCGGCUAUGUAAGACAGGUGUGAAAUCCCCGGGCUUAACCUGGGAACUGCAUUUGUGGCUGCAUAGCUAGAGUCUGUCAGAGGGGGGUGGAAUUCCACGUGUAGCAGUGAAAUGCGUAGAGAUGUGGAGGAACACCGAUGGCGAAGGCAGCCCCCUGGGAUAAGACUGACGCUCAUGCACGAAAGCGUGGGGAGCAAACGGG
rnacentral:rRNA from 1 species